UUGUUUUUUUGGUUAGCUAUUAUUUACUUAACACUUAGCUUAUGAAAAACACUGUGCUAAACACUUUUAUGAUAUAUUAAUGGUUUGCCCUUAUGGGGUAAGUAUUAUUAUCACCCCUAUUUUUACAAAUGUAACUGAGGCACAGAGGUGGAAUAACUUGCCCAGAUCACAAAGCUAGCAGAUGACUAGCUAAGAUUUGAACCUAAGCAUUUUGACUCCCCCUUAACCACAGAAAAAUACAAAGAAAUGUCCAAAGUUUUUGAGGCUUGUUUCUUGAGAGAAGAUCAGUAUUAUUAAUGAAAAUGAAAGAACUGGACAUAGGACAUAGCCUGGAUUUUUCUUGGCAAACAGAGAACGAAAGGAAAUGAUGAAUUUGUUUUGGACAUGUGAGAAUGAUGUGAUAUCAAGGUAUGUAAAUUUUUUACACAAAAAUUAUUUAUGUAAUAGGCAGUUGGACAUAUGCUGGGAAAGAAACUUCAACUAUGGAUGUGAGUUGGAGAAUCUUUGACAUAGAAAAUGUACGCUAUUAGAUGAGAGAAUGUGAUUUCUCCAAGCAAGUGAAUACGCAGAAAGAAAAGCAGAAAAGAUGGGGCCGAACUUUAUGCUCUAUGUGACUCAUUUUCAUCUAGCAGUACCUCUCCAAAACCUGAAUCUCCACGAGAAAGCUAUACAGCAAUUAACAAGUAUUGCAAGGAUUGCUUUUGCAAUAAAGAAUGGCUGUAAUGUUGGCAGUAAAUAUGAAACCUUCUUUUACACACCAAUAUUUUCAAGAAUGGCAUAUUCACAUUCAGUGUGUGGCAAGUUGCAUCAUUUUUCUUUGAACUGGCCUGAUAAUUUUCAAGCUAACAAACCUGUUCUUCCGUGAAAGUAAGUUGCCAUUAACGACCUUACUCUUACUAUGCAUAAGCAAUAGUUAACAAAGAACUAUUAUUUUGAAAUGGCAAACGCUUCCUUUACGCAGAUGUUUUUAUACAUUCACAAUUCACAAGCAAUCAGCCUGACUAAAGCACUGGGAUUUAAAAAAUGUGUUGAGACAGCAUCUUCACAUGCCUGGGAGACAAUUCAACCCAGAGGUUCAAAUGUAGAAUGCAUGUUUAUAAGAAAGGUCACUGAUUUUUCACCACUUAGGAAAGACAUGCUACAUGUGCCAAGAGAGAUAUACUUUAAGGUUUUCAUGCCUUGAAAGAUAGAUAAAAAUCACUUUCUAUCAUUCACCUCCUAGAUUUUCUAAAACCGACUUUGAGAGACAUCCAGUUCUGUAGGUUAAGUGGAGAAUAAUGCAAAUAGCUUGAGUUUAAACUAUAUCCAAUUUUAUAGAAGAUUCCACAUUUCUGAGCUUUUCUUCUUAAGCCUGCAUCUCUUUUUCUGUUCCCCAUCUUGAUUCAUGUUUCUGUCUUCCAGGCAUUUUCCUAAGAGAAACACCUAGAGGUUAUUCCAGACUCCUCUCUCUCUUUCAUUCAGAGACUGUCUAUCAGCUUUUAUCAACUGAACCUCUAAAAAAUGCUUCUUGAGUUGAGGCUCUUUCUAUACCUGAAAUAUUGUAUUAGCUUUUUGUUAAGUUCUUCUAGACUUACCUUUUUCAAACAAUAUUUAAAAAUUUUUAGCUUUUGCUUGGGUGUGGUGGCUCACACCUGUAAUCCCAGCACUUUGGGAGGCUGAGGUGGGCAGAUCACUUGAGGUCAAGAGUUCAAAACCAGCCUGGCCAACAUGGUAAAACUCCAUCUCUACUGAAAGUAUAAACAUUAGCCAAGUAUGGUGUUGUGGGCCUGUAAUACCAGCUACUUGGGAGACUGAGGCAGGAGAAUCACUUGAACCUAUGAGACAGA